GAUGAAGAACGUAGCAAAAUGCGAUAAGUAAUGUGAAUUGCAGAAUUCAGUGAAUCAUCGAAUCUUUGAACGCACAUUGCGCCCGCCAGUAUUCUGGCGGGCAUGCCUGUUCGAGCGUCAUUUCAACCCUCAAGCACAGCUUGGUGUUGGGACUCGCGUUAAUUCGCGUUCCCCAAAUUGAUUGGCGGUCACGUCGAGCUUCCAUAGCGUAGUAGUAAAACCCUCGUUACUGGUAAUCGUCGCGGCCACGCCGUUAAACCCCAACUUCCGAAUGUUGACCUCGGAUCAGGUAGGAAUACCCGCUGAACUUAAGCAUAUCAAUAAGCGGAGGA
rnacentral:misc_RNA from 1 species